ensembl:snRNA U2 U2 spliceosomal RNA
AUCGCUUCUCAGCCUUUUGGCUAAGAUCAAGUGUAGGUAAAUACAGCUCCAGUAAACUUUGAAAUUCCUAUUUUAUUUUCUUAGGUAAAUCAUUUAACCUUUCUAUUGUCACUUUUUUCCAUCCAUAAAAUGCAGAUAAUUCUACCU